rnacentral:rRNA from 1 species
CCUACGGGUGGCAGCAGUGAGGAAUAUUGGUCAAUGGACGAGAGUCUGAACCAGCCAAGUAGCGUGAAGGAUGACUGCCCUAUGGGUUGUAAACUUCUUUUAUAAAGGAAUAAAACGAGGCACGUGUGCCUUUUUGCAUGUACUUUAUGAAUAAGGAUCGGCUAACUCCGUGCCAGCAGCCGCGGUAAUACGGAGGAUCCGAGCGUUAUCCGGAUUUAUUGGGUUUAAAGGGAGCGUAGAUGGGUUGUUAAGUCAGUUGUGAAAGUUUGCGGCUCAACCGUAAAAUUGCAAUUGAUACUGGCAGUCUUGAGUACAGUUGAGGUAGGCGGAAUUCGUGGUGUAGCGGUGAAAUGCUUAGAUAUCACGAAGAACCCCGAUUGCGAAGGCAGCUUACUAAACUGUGACUGAGGUUCCUUGACCCGGGUAGUC